AGCUCUGCUAGCGUAUGUUUAUGUUAUUGCAGUUGUAACGCUCGUAGUUAGUUUCUUUGUAUUGUGAGAAAAGGUGUUUUGUUCAAGAUGAAUGUUUAGUGUGGGAUAUUUUUAUAUACGACUACCUAUGUUUUAGGUAGUAAUAGAUCACAAAAACAGUACCGGGGCGCUAGUAUGGGCCGGCCAGAGGUGAAAUUCACGGAUUCGGCCCGGACUCUCUACAGCGAAAGCAGCCGCCAACUAUGUUUUUUUUA
rnacentral:rRNA from 1 species